rnacentral:lncRNA from 10 species
CAGUUCUGGGAAGUCCAAGAUCAAGAGGCCACAUCAGGCAAGCAGAAUUACCUCCAGUACAUGGGCCCUGCCUUUGACUUCCCAGAGUCCACAUCCAAGCCCAGGUAUCAGGAACACUUCUCCCCAGUGCCUGUUCCAUAAAGACCAGCUGAACUGCCAUCUCCUGGGAUCUCUUCUUAGUUCUCUCUUCUAGUUUUCUCCCUAUCUGAUCCUCUGUGGCUUUGUCUGUAAUCCUUUGGUUGACAUUUAUGUCAUUCAGCCUCCUGCCUCUCCUAGUGGAUCUUCAGCUCUUCCAAAGCACAGGCUGAGACUGUGGGUUCCUCCACAGCACAGGCCAUUUUGCUGAAGUCCCACGGGCUAAACACUGAGGCUCAGACCUGAAAUGUGAGGAACCGCAUGGGAUUCUUGAUGGAACUGUUCAAUAUGAAAAUGUAAAUUUCUCCGAAGACAAUUAAAAAAAAGUUUUUAUUCAUUUCAUUAUGUUUGAAUUCCAAACAACAUGGAGAAAUGCUAAACUGGCUUCUGUUAGUUUAUUCUGCUAGUUAGAGUCAAGAGCCAUCGUUCUAGAUGUAGUCUUAGGGCCCCUCAAGCUACAACGGUCUCACCUCUCAGGAGCUCACCUCCAUGCUCAAGAAGUAGUUUUUAAAGAAUGAAUUGUCUCUCAAGAUUUUGUCAAAAAUCUUAUGUGCAAAAUCACAUGAGACAUUUCAGACAUUUUCUAUAGCUAGUCAAACAGAGGGGUUUUUUUUAAAAAAACAGAAAAAAAAACUGUGUUUGACUAGUUCUUUCUUAUAAUCCUCACCAUCAUUUAUAGCAAUGUGGUCAAAUGGAAUAAUUCCAGAUAUUUAAAAAAUACAUUCCUCCUUUUGUCUUUACUCAAAAUGUCUACAGCUGAUAAAUAAAGGGUAUUUA